rnacentral:rRNA from 1 species
UACGGGGGGGGCAAGCGUUGUUCGGAAUUACUGGGCGUAAAGGGCUUGUAGGUGGCCAACUAAGUCAGACGUGAAAUCCCUCGGCUUAACCGGGGAACUGCGUCUGAUACUGGAUGGCUUGAGUGUGGGAGAGGGAUGCGGAAUUCCAGGUGUAGCGGUGAAAUGCGUAGAUAUCAGGAGGAACACCGGUGGCGAAGGCGGGUCUCUGGGCCGAUACUGACGCUGAGGAGCGAAAGCGUGGGGAGCAAACAGG